rnacentral:lncRNA from 1 species
CUCAGGCCAGUUGGAAAGCAGCCUUAAAUUUUUUUCCAAGCAAAAUCAAACCUGCUUUGACAUCAAAGGGGGUCCUGGGGAAUCUCAGGCGGAGAGGUUUCCGUUUUUAUCAACAAGCUCUCCAAACUUCCUCCACUUCCAGCAGUUUGACAACUCCCUUUAAAACACAGAUCUGACCCUGUGGAGGCCUUGGGAAGCCUGUUGAACAUGAGUGCCAUAAAGGCAGGGUUUUAACUUCACAAAAAUAACAUCUGGUGGGAUUUGACUGGACAAGAUCUUGGAAUUGAGGAAAAGAACGUGUUCAUGAACAUGCACACGCAGCCUGCAACCCUCUGUGUGGACGUGCCCAUCUUCACUUCACUAAAAACGUACAAACCUGAAAAGUAAAAAAAUUAAAGAAAAAGAAAAGUUCAAGCCUGUAGUGACUAAGUCUGAAAAGGAGAGAAGAGCCAGGGCUCUCUGUGUUCCUCAAGUCAGCCCUACUUGCCAGUUGGCCCACCUUCCCCGGAGUUCAGUUCAGCCUCUGGAGUCCCAGCAGCUAUGGCAGUGAGGUGGGGAAACAUGGGCAAAUGCUCUCCAGACCCUUUCACAACAAUCGGCUUUGGUUUCUGCUGUGGAGAUGACAGCUCUGCUGUUUCGUGUGGUCCCCACGCUGUCUGCAUCAGAAAGGAAAUGACCUAUUAAAAUAGUGCCUUUCACCACUGUCUCAAAGUACUUGACAGAUGCCCACAUAACUUCCCAUUGGCUGAAACAGAAAACUGAAACCUAGAUGACAGCUGGGAAGGCAAACCCAAGGAGCCUGACUCCAUGACGUCUGUGAAUUCAGCAAAAAUGGCUUCUCAUCUCUCAAUGAAUAAUGUUAUUUCCUGUGUCUGCUUUACCCCUGUGACUGCUUAUAUUUGGGAAUUCAAAGAACCUCAGCGGCGACAGAGUGAACCUUGGGGCAGGUGAAUAUCAGCGUUUAGUCUUUCAUUCACUUCUCUGCUAAAUGUGCACCUAAGUUCUAGCCACAUUUCUUAAUCGCUUCAGUAAAACUAGUACUCUUGGGUCUCUCUCUCUCUCUCAUUCACACACACAGAC